CCGGAACAGUGGGGAUAUUGGACAUGGGCGAAGCCUGAUCCAGCCAUGCCGCGUGUGUGAAGAAGGUCUUCGGAUUGUAAAGCACUUUAAGUUGGGAGGAAGGGCAGUAAGUUAAUACCUUGCUGUUUUGACGUUACCAACAGAAUAAGCACCGGCUAACUUCGUGCCAGCAGCCGCGGUAAU
rnacentral:rRNA from 1 species